rnacentral:rRNA from 1 species
GACGAACGCUGGCGGCGCGCUUAAUACAUGCAAGUCGAGCGAGAACCAGAGCUUCGGCUCUGGGGACAGCGGCGAACGGGUGAGUAACACGUGAGUAAUCUGCCCUCGGCACCGGGAUAGCCCGGGGAAACCCGGAUUAAUACCGGAUGGCCUCUCGAGCUUUCGGGCUCGUGAGAAAAGGUAGCUUCGGCCUCCGGCCGAGGAGGGGCUCGCGGCGGAUUAGCUUGUUGGUGGGGUAACGGCUCACCAAGGCGACGAUCCGUAGCUGGUCUGAGAGGACGAUCAGCCACACUGGGACUGAGACACGGCCCAGACUCCUACGGGAGGCAGCAGUAGGGAAUCUUGCGCAAUGGGCGAAAGCCUGACGCAGCGACGCCGCGUGCGGGAAGAAGGCCUUCGGGUUGUAAACCGCUUUCAGGAGGGACGAAGCCACUCGGGUUAAUAGCCCAGAGGGUGACGGUACCUCCAGAAGAAGCCCCGGCUAACUACGUGCCAGCCGCCGCCGUAAGAC